rnacentral:lncRNA from 1 species
GUUGGAGCACAGAGAAAGUGACUUGCUGAAGGACACGCUACAAAGUGAGAUCGCUAAAUUCUACGCAAUCCAAGUCCCCUUGGGUAACUGAAGGCCCUGACUGGCUCCUCUCCACUAGGCACCAACACUGCUCUUCUCAGGCUAUUUACAUGCUUUAUCUUGAGGCUUGAGUUUUGACCAUUGGAAGCACUAUUGGCCAUGAGAAUAGAAGACGAGAGGUUUACACAGUUACUCAAGGAAGCUGGCAACUUCAACAGCUCCUUAUUCAUUUCCAUGGCUUCCAGCUGAUUUUCCUGUGUUCGGCUCUGGGAAACAAGGAACCCUCUCUGCUUGGUGGACAUCACCCUGCACACCACCCCUGCCGCCCACCACUCGCGUCCUCUCCAGUUCCUGCCUCCCCUCUCUGCCUGCUGCAGAUUUGGCUGCUUCUUUAUCCUAUGACCAGUUUUCAUCGGCUCUGAGGAUUAGCAGGGACCAGAGCCCAAGCCCCGGGAGUGCUCAGGCCCUCAGAUUAAGAACUGAUUCGAAAGACUUCAGUACACUGAAGUACCAUGCACACUGAUAUUUCAACUGGUUAUCAGCUCUCAAAACAUUAACCUAAAAUGAAAAAUGUAAACUUGCCAAAUUUGGUUUUUGUUUUCAUCUUAUGCCAGUAAACUCAUAAGAAGGAACUUCUAGAAAAAAGUGAAAUACUCUAGGCAAACUAUGGUCUAUGAAUCAAUUCUGGAUCCCUGUUUAUUUUUGUAUCGCCUACAAGCUAAGAAUGUGUUUCUCAGUUUGAAAUGGUUGAAAGAAAAUCAAAAAAAGGCAAUAUUUUAUGACACAUGAAAAUGAUGUGAAAUUCAAAUUUCAGUGUCCAUAAAUAAAAUUGUAUUGGAACUCACUCAGCCAUGCUCAUUUAUUUAAGAAUUGUCUACUGCUCUUUCUGAACUACAACAGCAGAGUGGAAUAGCUGCAACACAGAGCACAUGGCUCACAAAUCCUAUAAUAUGUAUUAUCUGCUCCAUGACAGAAUAAGGGUCAUGGAUUCCUGCUCUAGGCUCUUCAAAAUGGAAGCAGAACAUUUGGAAUUUUCCUCACAGCACAAGAAGUGGCCAACAAUUUGAGAUUUCAGGGAAUCAGGAGCAUCUGGGGCCUGUCACCUUUGUCACCUUUGAAAACACUGUCUAUUGGCCCCAAAGAUGGGGAUUUCCUCUGCUGUGCUUGUAAAAGUGUUCUUAGCCCUAUAGAGACUAAGGUUCACAAUGAGCUUCUCAUUUUUUUUUUUUUUGGCAAGAGAGAUUUUCUUAUUCAGUGAAAAAAAUUAUAUAUAUAGGUAUGUAUAUACACACACACCGAU